UACGGAGGGGGGCGAGCGUUAUUCGGAAUUAUUGGGCGUAAAGGGCGCGUAGGCGGCCCUGCAAGUCAAAGGUGAAAUCCCUCGGCUCAACUGAGGAACUGCCUUUGAAACUGUGGGGCUUGAGGCCGGGGAGGGGGGUAGCGGAAUUCCCAGUGUAGCGGUGAAAUGCGUAGAUAUUGGGAGGAACACCAGUGGCGAAGGCGGCUACCUGGACCGGUUCUGACGCUGAUGCGCGAAAAGCGUGGGGGAGCAAACGGG
rnacentral:rRNA from 1 species